AAAUUGAAGAGUUUGAUCAUGGCUCAGAUUGAACGCUGGCGGCAGGCCUAACACAUGCAAGUCGAACGGUAACAGGAAGAAGCUUGCUUCUUUGCUGACGAGUGGCGGACGGGUGAGUAAUGUCUGGGAAACUGCCUGAUGGAGGGGGAUAACUACUGGAAACGGUAGCUAAUACCGCAUAACGUCGCAAGACCAAAGAGGGGGACCUUCGGGCCUCUUGCCAUCGGAUGUGCCCAGAUGGGAUUAGCUAGUAGGUGGGGUAACGGCUCACCUAGGCGACGAUCCCUAGCUGGUCUGAGAGGAUGACCAGCCACACUGGAACUGAGACACGGUCCAGACUCCUACGGGAGGCAGCAGUGGGGAAUAUUGCACAAUGGGCGCAAGCCUGAUGCAGCCAUGCCGCGUGUAUGAAGAAGGCCUUCGGGUUGUAAAGUACUUUCAGCGGGGAGGAAGGGAGUAAAGUUAAUACCUUUGCUCAUUGACGUUACCCGCAGAAGAAGCACCGGCUAACUCCGUGCCAGCAGCCGCGGUAAUACGGAGGGUGCAAGCGUUAAUCGGAAUUACUGGG
rnacentral:rRNA from 1 species